AACGCAAAUUGCACUCUCUGGCAAUCCAGGGAGUAUGCCUGUUUGAGGGUCAGUUUAAGUAAAAUCGAGGUGUCGUUUUAGUGACGUUUCGGAAUUGGGUUGUCUUGACCUUUCAGGUUAAGAGGCCUGAAAUUGAUGUUUUUUCGCGCAUCCUGAACGUGAGUAAUUCAUUCAUCCGUUUUCGAUGCCGAUCUCUAUUAGGUAUGGUCAUGUCGUGUGGUCACGUACCUAUAAUUAUUCAUAUUUUGACCUCAAAUCAGGUAGGAGUACCCGCUGAACUUAA
rnacentral:misc_RNA from 1 species